CAGAGUGGGUGAGAGUCCAACCUGGGCCUGGGAGCCGGGCCUAAGCCGGCAGCGCCAGGCGGGGAGUUCAGAAGACUGUCGCCCGGCGCCGUGCGCCGCAAGGGCACUGCCUGCUCGGAAGCUGCGGCACCUCCCGAUUUUCCGCGGCUCUAUAAGGAGUCGCGCUUCGGUAGCCGGGGAGCUGGAGGGGAACCUGAUUUGAGAUCAAUUCUUGGAGAACACAAAGAAGUGUGGUGGUAUGUUCCAGGGUUGAACCAGCUGCCCUUUGACCCUGCCAACAACAACGAGCCCCUGCAGUUUGGUAGUGCCAGUGGCCCUCUGGUCACAGAAGGCCUCAUUGAGAAUGGAGGGGAGUCAAGCAAGAAAAGAAAGAGAACAAAUGCUC